ACAUCGGAACGUGUCCUGUAGUGGGGGAUAGCCCGGCGAAAGCCGGAUUAAUACCGCAUACGCUCUACGGAGGAAAGGGGGGGAUCUUAGGACCUCUCGCUACAGGGGCGGCCGAUGGCAGAUUAGCUAGUUGGUGGGGUAAAGGCCUACCAAGGCGACGAUCUGUAGCUGGUCUGANAGGACAACCAGCCACACUGGGACUGANACACGGCCCAAACUCCUACGGGAGGCAGCAGUGGGGAAUUUUGGACAAUGGGCGCAAGCCUGAUCCAGCAAUGCCGCGUGUGUGAAGAAGGCCUUCGGGUUGUAAAGCACUUUUGUCCGGAAAGAAAACCUCUGGGUUAAUACCCCGGGGGGAUGACGGUACCGGAAGAAUAAGCACCGGCUAACUACGUGCCAGCAGCCGCGGUAAUACGUAGGGUGCAAGCGUUAAUCGGAAUUACUGGGCGUAAAGCGUGCGCAGGCGGUCUGCUAAGACAGAUGUGAAAUCCCCGGGCUUAACCUGGGAACUGCAUUUGUGACUGGCAGGCUAGAGUAUGGCAGAGGGGGGUAGAAUUCCACGUGUAGCAGUGAAAUGCGUAGAGAUGUGGAGGAAUACCGAUGGCGAAGGCAGCCCCCUGGGCCAAUACUGACGCUCAUGCACGAAAGCGUGGGGAGCAAACAGGAUUAGAUACCCUGGUAGUCCACGCCCUAAACGAUGUCAACUAGUUGUUGGGGAUUCAUUUACUUAGUAACGUAGCUAACGCGUGAAGUUGACCGCCUGGGGAGUACGGUCGCAAGAUUAAAACUCAAAGGAAUUGACGGGGACCCGCACAAGCGGUGGAUGAUGUGGAUUAAUUCGAUGCAACGCGAAAAACCUUACCUACCCUUGACAUGUAUGGAACCCUGCUGAAAGGUGGGGGUGCCCGAAAGGGAGCCAUAACACAGGUGCUGCAUGGCUGUCGUCAGCUCGUGUCGUGAGAUGUUGGGUUAAGUCCCGCAACGAGCGCAACCCUUGUCCCUAGUUGCUACGCAAGAGCACUCUAGGGAGACUGCCGGUGACAAACCGGAGGAAGGUGGGGAUGACGUCAAGU
rnacentral:rRNA from 1 species